ACUGGCCUUAAACUCCUGACAUGGCUGAAAAUGACCUUGAACUUCUGGUCCUUGCCUGCACCUCCAAGUGUAUGCUGGACCUACAGUAAGUCCUCAAUAGCAGCCCCUUUAUUUCCAUCUUGCUUCAUUAGGUAUUAACACCAUUUCAAAGAAGAGGGAACUGAGGCUUAAGAGGUAGACACCGUUUUCCCAUCGUCAUGCACUGACACACUUAUCCAGUCAUCAGCUCAUAUCCACAUGAUAUUCACAUGAUUGCCACGUGGCGACUACUUGUUCAAGCCAAGCAGGAUUGACAACGCCUUCAGUGUUGUCCAUGCCUUUGAGGUGUAGGGGUGUAUUCUAGCAAAGCUAGACAGUGACCUGGCACUCAGAUCAGUAAGGAAAUCACAGAUGGGGCAGGAAACACGCAGGGAGGAGACAUGGUAUGUGUGAGCAUGGUGGAUUUCUGAAAACGAGAUAGGAAGGGACUUUGUAGGAGGCGACAUUCAUGCUCGGACUUCAAGGUACAACAAUAUCCUAAGGCCUGUGGGUCUGAGUAUUAGGCUUAUGGCUAUGAGCUAUCGCAGACUGCCAGAACACAGUCUACGGGCCAGGAACUCACUAGGUUGCUUGAUUGCAGAAGCUUGCUAUAGAGGAGGAAAUAGUAUCUGAGAGAGGUCAGCCUGUCACUGCAGAGACUUUCAACCGCCCAGCCCUGGCUGACUCCAUCAAGCAGUCAAACCUCCAGAAGCGAUGCCUGACCAGAUCUUGCUCCUGAUGCCUGAAGGCUCCUGCCAUUUGUGAUGCAAACAAUAGUCAUUCCAGCCCUACGACUUGUCAGAACCCCCUCCUACGAUCUGCAUUAUAGCAGCAAACAAAAUGGACGAAAAAGAAAGCCUGUCUUCAGAGAGCUUGUAUUCAAGGCUAACAAACUUCCUUACUAUCAUUUACUGUGCGGCUGAGGACCCAAAUAAAACCUCAUCUUCCUUAGCAUGACAAAGAUGAUUCGGG
rnacentral:lncRNA from 1 species